GCCGGUCCCAGUUCGGAUUGCAGUCUGCAACUCGACUGCUUGAAGUUGGAAUCGCUAGUAAUCGC
rnacentral:rRNA from 1 species